rnacentral:rRNA from 1 species
AGUGAACGCUGGCGGUAGGCCUAACACAUGCAAGUCGAACGGCAGCACAGUACAUCUUUGUUUUGCGGGGGGGGAGUGGGGGUCGGGGGAGGGAUACUUACGUACCCUCUUUUUUGGGGGGGCUUAAGGAAGGAAACGUUAAUCCAUAACGGAUACUACCUACGGGUGGAAGGAGUGGGACAUUGUACCCUGCGGGGUUUGAAGUGGCGAUGUCGGAUUAGGUUGGUGGCGGGGUAAAGGCCCACCAAGGCGACGGUUCGUAGGCGGUCUGGGGGGAUGGGCAGCCACACUGGAACUGAGACCCGGUACAGAGUCCUACGGGAAGCAGCAGUGGGGAAUAGUGGACAAUGGGCGCAAGCCUGAUCCAGCCAUACCGCGUGGGUGAAGAAGGCCUUCGGGUUGUAAAGCCCUUUUGUUGGGAAAGAAAAGCAGCAGGUUAAUACCCCGCUGUUCUGACGGUACCCAAAGAAUAAGCAACGGCUAACUUCGUG